UAACGAGCGCAACCCUACCUUUACGUUGCCAUCAGGUAAUGCUGGGGACUCUAAAGGAACUGCUACGCAAGUAGUGAGGAAGGCGGGGAUGACGUCAAAUCAGCACGGCCCUUACGUCCAGGGCUACACACGUGCUACAAUGGCCGAUACAGAGGGCAGCUACCUGGUGACAGGAUGCAAAUCUCCAAAGUCGGUCUCAGUUCGGAUCGGAGUCUGCAACCCGACUCCGUGAAGUUGGAUUCGCUAGUAAUCGCGCAUCAGCCAUGGCGCGGUGGAUACGUUCCCGGGCCUU
rnacentral:rRNA from 1 species